rnacentral:rRNA from 1 species
UACGGAAGGCAGCAGUGGGGAAUAUUGCACAAUGGGCGCAAGCCUGAUGCAGCCAUGCCGCGUGUAUGAAGAAGGCCUUCGGGUUGUAAAGUACUUUCAGCGGGGAGGAAGGCGAUGCGGUUAAUAACCGCGUCGAUUGACGUUACCCGCAGAAGAAGCACCGGCUAACUCCGUGCCAGCAGCCGCGGUAAUACGGAGGGUGCAAGCGUUAAUCGGAAUUACUGGGCGUAAAGCGCACGCAGGCGGUCUGUUAAGUCAGAUGUGAAAUCCCCGGGCUUAACCUGGGAACUGCAUUUUGAACUGGCAGGCUUGAGUCUUGUAGAGGGGGUAGAAUUCCAGGUGUAGCGGUGAAAUGCGUAGAGAUCUGGAGGAAUACCGGUGGCGAAGGCGGCCCCUGGGACAAGACUGACGCUCAGGUGCGAAAGCGUGGGGAGCAAACAGGGAUUAGGAUACC